GGGGAUUUAGCUCAGUGGUAGAGCGCUUGCCUAGCAAGUGCAAGACUGGGUUUGGUCCCCA
rnacentral:tRNA from 1 species